rnacentral:rRNA from 1 species
AACGAACGCUGGCGGCAGGCUUAACACAUGCAAGUCGAACGCAUCCUUCGGGGUGAGUGGCAGACGGGUGAGUAACGCGUGGGAACGUGCCCUUCAGUUCGGGAUAACCCAGGGAAACUUGGGCUAAUACCGGAUACGUGCGAGAGCAGAAAGAUGUAUCGCUGUAAGGAUCGGCCCGCGUCUGAUUAGCUAGUUGGUGGGGUAAUGGCCCACCAAGGCGACGAUCAGUAGCUGGUCUGAGAGGAUGAUCAGCCACAUUGGGACUGAGACACGGCCCGAACUCCGACGGGAGGUAGCAGUGGGGAAUAUUGGACAAGGGGCGCAAGCCUGAUCCAGCCAUGCCGCGUGAGUGAUGAAGGCCUUAGGGUUGUAAAGCUCUUUCGUCCGGGACGAUAAUGACGGUACCGGAAGAAGAAGCCCCGGCUAACUUCGUGCCAGCCGCCGCGGUAA